UACGUAGGGUGCAAGCGUUGUCCGGAAUUAUUGGGCGUAAAGAGCUCGUAGGCGGUUUGUCGCGUCUGCUGUGAAAUCCCGAGGCUCAACCUCGGGCCUGCAGUGGGUACGGGCAGACUAGAGUGCGGUAGGGAGAUUGGAACUCCUGGUGUAGCGGUGGAAUGCGCAGAUAUCAGGAAGAACACCGAUGGCGAAGGCAGAUCUCCUGGGCCGUAACUGACGC
rnacentral:rRNA from 1 species